rnacentral:rRNA from 1 species
UUUUUCGCCAUAUUCCAAAAAGCGGAGGAAAAGAAACCAACAGGGAUUGCCUCAGUAACGGCGAGUGAAGCGGCAAAAGCUCAAAUUUGAAAUCCCCCGGGAAUUGUAAUUUGAAGAGAUUUGGGUCCGGCCGGCGGGGGUUAAGUCCACUGGAAAGUGGCGCCACAGAGGGUGACAGCCCCGUGAACCCCUUCAACGCCCUCAUCCCAGAUCUCCAAGAGUCGAGUUGUUUGGGAAUGCAGCUCUAAGUGGGUGGUAAAUUCCAUCUAAAGCUAAAUACCGGCGAGAGACCGAUAGCGAACAAGUACAGUGAUGGAAAGAUGAAAAGCACUUUGAAAAGAGAGUGAAAAAGUACGUGAAAUUGUUGAAAGGGAAGGGCUUGCAAGCAGACACUUAACUGGGCCAGCAUCGGGGCGGCGGGGAAGACAAAAACCACCGGGGAAUGUCCCUUUGGAGGAUUUUAACCCCGGUCCUCAAUUUCAUUGUUGCCCCGAGGCCUGCAAUCUAAGGAUGCUGGCGAAUACGAAG